AGUUUCUGUCUAAGCAUAGUGCUAAAAGGAAGGGUGGUAUAGGUUAUGGGAAAUUAACACAGUCCAAUCAACAUGUUAAACUCAUGCACAAGAGUUUGAUAAAAACAUAUUUCUUUGGAUCCAUAUUUCUAACAUAUAAUCAGCCACAUACAGGUUCUUCUGCUAGAGUAAUUUACAUUGAUGAAAAUGGGAGUUAAACACAACAGAAAUGAAAAUGGGAGCAGAAGAUUGUAGCUGAAGAGACAACAUUCUCAUUGUCCGGGGACAAAGUUAGUAGCAAAAGCCCAUGCGUUGUUCGCGACAGGGUCAGCAACAUGGUCAUAAAGGUUCUGAAUAGGGCCCUUGCCAGUAACAAUGGCUUGAACAAAGAAACCAAACAUGGAGAACAUAGCCAGCCGACCAUUCUUGAGUUCCUUGACCUUCAACUCUGCAAAUGAAUCAGGGUCAUCAGCAAGGCCAAGAGGGUCAAAAGCACCACCAGGGUAAAGUGGGUCUAGUCCUUCGCCGAGGGGUCCUCCUCCAACUCUGUAGCCUUCAACAAAUCCCAUGAGCACAACCUGAGUAGCCCAGAUUGCAAGAAUGCUCUGAGCAUGAAUCAGGUUUGGGUUGCCCAAAUAGUCAAGGCCACCCUCCGCAAAGAUCUGGGAACCGGCUUUGAACCACACUGCCUCGCCGAAUUUAACACCAUUCUUUUCAAGGAGUUCGGGGAAGGUACAUCCCAAUGCACCAAGCAUAGCCCAUCUGCUGUGAAUUACUUCAAGCUCACGGUUCCUUGCAAAUGUUUCAGGGUCAGCUGAUAAUCCAGCUGUGUCCCAUCCAUAGUCACCAGGAAAUUCACCAGUCAGGUAGGAUGGAAUUUGUUCAGAGAAUGGACCCAAGUACUUGGGACGGUCAGGACCAUACCUGGUUUUCACAACAGAUCAUUCCAAGUCAAAUAUACAAACAAAUUAUCACAACUUUCAAAUAUCAGUCAUUACCUCUAUAGUACCGAAAAGUCUGAAAAAAUAUGUGUCUGUGUCAAUUUCAAUUUAUUAUUAUUUUUUCCGAAUUAUGUCGGGGUCGAUGUUAUGUGUCUGGUGUCCGUGCUUCAUAGGUCAUUAGCAUUUCAAUCACUGGCUUUUGGGUCUGACCCAACUAGCUAAUAAUUAGUUAUGAUGUUUGUAAGAGACAUGAUGAGUUAAAGGAAUGUUAAAAACCAGAACUUUAUGUAUUUUAACAUAUGCAAAAGCUAAAUUUUGACUGUAACUGAACUACUUACCAAAUGCUUUCAGGAGCACUCUUCACAGUACGACGCAUGGUAAAGCGAGCUUGGCCAAAGUUUCCAGCUUUCCUGAUGAAUUCAUUUCCCUGCCUCAAACCAGUCUUACCAGUGAAAGCUGAUUGUUGGAUAGCAGAGGUGGCCAUGAGGGCGUUGAGACUCCUUGCACUUUGAUGUUGUUCUCUUCGAUGCUACUAGCAAAUGUUGUUGUGAAGAGUGAAGAUAUGCUACAAAGGUUUAUAGAAGUGCAGGGAGUGGCCAGUGUGGAAAUAUUAGAUAUUGUGGAUUAGGAUAUGCACAAGUCAGCAACAUCUUAUUGGUUGUGAAUUUCUACAUGGAUUUCCAAGGUGAUAUAUUGUAUUCAUAUUGUGGCUCUCUUUGUGCCAUGUGGAUGCAGUCAUCUGGUGGCUUAGAUGUUUUUGAAGAGGAUGAAUGUGAGCCAAGGAAAUUAGGUCCACCAAAUUUGAUAGAGAAAAAUGAAAUUUGGAAGAAGUUUGUAUUAAGGGUGACAAUUAAAUCCACGAAGCUAAAGUUCAUAUGAGUCAUCUAUUAAAUUAUCUAUCAAAUCUAUUUAUUGUUCAAAAUAGUUAAUAGAUUAGGGGUCCGUUUGUUUUGGCUUUUUUUAAAAAUGAUUUUUGUAGUGUUAUAUAUUUUAGUGUAAAAAAAUUUAUCAAGAAAAUUUUCAUAAAAGCUUCAAAUGAAAAUUUUGUUUGAAUAGUUAUUCUUAAAAUGUUAUUUUAGGUAUUUUAUCAUUUUAUCGAAACUUUUUUUAGAUAUCAAAAUUUCAAAAAAUCACUUAAUUUUGAAACUAUUUCAAAUAGCUUUUUCUAAAAAUCAUUUUUGAGAUACAAUUUUUUUUAAAAUUAUAAUUUUGAAUAUGUUUUGAUCUUCAAUAAUGUAUAUUUAUGUUAUACAAUGAACAAUUCAACAUUUUAAUAUAUAAAAAAUAAAUUUAGAAAUACUUGCAAUAUUUUGAAAAAUAUUUUUGUAAAAUCCAUUUUAAAAAAUACAAAGAAAAAAUCCAUUUUUUUAAAGCACAGACCCUAGAUUUAAUACAUCCAUUUAAAAAGUUACGCUCAAUCUAUUCAACAAAUUUAAUACCAAGUUUUUAUAAUCAAUAAUAAGAAAAGAGCAUGUAAAAGUAAAAUUUUCAUUAAAAUUCGAAGAAGGAUUAUUUCCCUGAACUUUUAUGAAGAGGUAUUUUCCCCCUCAAAAUCUCCAAAAACUUUUAAGUUCGAACGUACAAGUAUAUUUCUUUCAUAGGUGUUACAAUUUUCUUCUUUUUAGUUGAUUUACAAAGAAAGAGGUGAAAAACAUUUCUUUUUAUGUUAGUCCCAUCAUACCCUUUUUUUCAAAAUUUUAAUAUUAUGCCAUUUCAUAUUAUUGAUGUUUUGUUGAGGGAUGUUUUAAAAUUCGGACAUGUGAUCUGUCAACGAGUUAUUGUUCGGGAUCGCAUGAGUUUUAAUUCAAUUUAUACAAAUUAAUAAAAAUAAUUUUAUGAAAUAAAUUUUUUAAAAUAAAUUUCAUAAUUAUAAAAUCUACAAAAGAAAAUUCUAAAUUUGCUCACCCAAUUAAUUGAAUAAUAAUCUCAAAUAAAAUUCCAACUUCUAAACCUAACAAGUUAUUGAUGGUUAUAAUUAUAAAUUUAUAAAAAUUAAAAAAGUAAUUAUAUGAUAUAAUAAUAUCAUAAAAUAAUAUAGAACAUAAAUAAAUAUCAUGUUCUAUAUAAAUAAUUAAAAAUAAAAUAUAUAAAUAUAAAAGUUAAUAAAAAUAAUAUGACUUUUUUUAAACAAAGAGGACUAAAGUCCAACAACAAACAUAACUACGCCACAACUAAAGGGGGAACCGAAGUUCCCAAUGUCUAUCUCUAGAAGUAUCAACUUACAUAUUCUCUUCCAUUGUCUAUCUGUUGUUACAUUAUGAGUAUUGUCUAAAGUAUUGUACAUGUUUGAAACUCCGACUUCUUUAUUCCCAUCAGCAAAGAUAACUUUAACAUAUGUGUCAUCAUUCUCAUUCGGAGGUAAAAUACAAGUUAUUUGAUACAUCACUUCCACCGGAAGCCAAUGAGCUAAAAUGGUGAAGCUCAAAUCACCCUCAGAGUUCAACAAAUCUGCAACUUCAGCCUGCUGCAAGACCUCCAGAAGUUGAAUAUUUAAAUCAUGCAUCUUGAACCAUGGUGUAAUUUAGUUGCUGGUCUACGCGUUCAUUGUCUUACCAUCAUCAAUUAUCCACAAACAUUACUCAAUAAUCUUCGAUAUAACUUUGAUGAUGCAUUACCAAAAGCUUGAGUUGGACGGUUUCAUUCUUCUCUAUCCACCGCACGAGAAUGAGAUGAGAUAGAUUAUCUACGCAAAGCACGAAAAUGUAAGGAGAAAAUGGAUCUCCCUGACGAAAGAAAUUUGAUGUUAUCUAACUUCAUUCCACCUAAUAUUUAUUUUCUCACUUGUAACCACAUGCAUAAUAAAAUUAGAAAAUAAUAUGAAUUUUGCUUAAAACUAAUAAUAACACUUAUACUAAAAAUAUUGUGAAAAUUUAAUUCACUAUUCCUUUGGUAAUAUGAUUUUUUCUAAAUAAUGAGAUUUAUACUUAAAAUAAUAUAAAAAUAUAAUUUUAUUUUUCUUUAGUAAUAUGAUAUUUUUUCAAAUCUUUUAUUAAUUUAUAAAAUUAUUAUACUAUAGAAUAAAUUUUCUAACUUUUAUAAUUUAUAAUAUUAUUAUAUUCCAUGAUUAAUAAUACAUAACUUUUAUAAUAUUAUAGAAUAUAUAAGUCUCUUUUCGUUUUCGUUAACCAAAUUAAACAUCAAAAGAGAUUCCCGAUGUAGUUUGUAAUUUUAAUAUUAUUUAAUUAUUAUAAAUAAUUAACAUAAGAAGAAUAAUUUUUCGGAUCAAGAAAUCCACUAAUUCAUUGGUCUAACCGAUGAACCACAUGAAUCUCACCAUUUUCUGUCGGGUCAAUUGCAACUAUUGUCAUAUCAUUUUACCAAAUAGUUUUACUCUCUGGUUCACAGUUUAACCAGGUUGAUCGACUGAUCCAAUCCGAAUUUUAAAAACAUUGUUGGUGAGUCAGUUUCUUCGGGAAAAAAUGAUCAUGACAAGCUUUUUAAAAAUGGUGGAUCAUAGUGGUGCAUUUGUUAGAAUUUACUAUAAAAAUUUAUCAUGUCAAACUUAUUUUAGGUGAUGUAAACGAGAAGCUACCAUAAAAAAUUGUUAAGGGAUCCGAGGAUCAUCACACCGGGCUUUAGGAGCAAGUGAGAGGGACACCACAUAUUAGCCCAAAAUCUUAAGACAUUAGGUAUGUGGGUCUUCUCACUUAUAAAGUGUUCAACAUUCACUUUUCAUCUUAUGUGAGACUCAUACUCACACUUGAUAUACCAACAAUCUUCCCCUCAAAUGUGAGUUCUUCCAUUCUUAUGGUCAUUGCUCCCUCUCAAAUAAAAUAAUUUUUCAUUCAUGUCUGCUGGCACUAUCAUUGGAUGGACCCAACGAAACACGUCGCCUGGACACCCUUGUAAGGAAGAUUUUUUAAACAAGGAGCCCUAGUUGAACUAGGCUAUGAUACAUUGUUGGCUAAUGAGGGGGUCCAACGGAACACACCGUCUGGACACCCUUGUUAGGAAUACUUUUGAUACAAGGGAUUAUGUUGAAUGUAAUUCAACAUUCAAGUUAGUUUAGUUUUGAAUUUUAUUUGCAUUUAAGUUUCAUAUGAAUUUGAGUAAUUAUAUAAACCAAAAUGUAAUUGCAUUUGUAAUAGAUUUUUAGUUUUGUAAUUAUUGGAAUCAGAAAGUUCGUUACACAAUUCUCUCUCUUUUCUCAAUUCUCUACGAAUGUUAUUCAUCAUCUUCAUCUUCUUGUGCAAUGUUAGUGGAAGUUCAUUAUUGAACUCCAACAAUAAUGACAUUUAGAUGAAAAAGACUAACUUAAUAUAUUUUUAAAAAUUAAGAAACUCAAAUGAUUUUUUUAAAGUUAAGAAACUAAAAUGAACUCUGAAUAUAAGAUAUAGUAUGAAAAAGGAUAUUAAGUGAUAGUUUUUCUAAAAGGAGAAAUAAACUACAAGAAACACAACUAAUAAGCAUAAAUGUUUAUAAUUUUCAAAUAAGUUUAAUCGCAUAGCUAUUCAAAUUAGUCACACAUUAAAAAUAUCCACCAUCGGUAGUAACUUAUACAAUAUUGAUUUUUUAUGUCAAAAUUGCAACCUUCUUAUAAUAAUUCUAAUUAUUUAAUUUAGAGUAAUGUUACAGUCAAUUCUUACACUAAUAUUUACCUCCAAUAUUGUUUACCGUAUGUAUAUGGUGAAGUAUAUUUUUUAUUUAAUAAAGAAGAUAAAAAAAAUUAUUUAAAAAAUAUGUGGUUAAUAACAUAUAUAAUUAAUGCAAUAAUAAAAUUGAUUAAUAUCAAAAUCUUAUAUUUGUGUUUUAAAAUUAAUCUUAAAAAAAUAUUUUUUAUAAAUAGUUUUUUAUUUUAAAAAAUAUAAUAAAUAUUUUUUAUUUUAAAAAAAAAUAUUAUUCACUGUAUAAACACGAUAAACAAUAUUGGACAUAAGUAUUUGUGUAGAAAAUGGGAGUAAGAAUAGUAGUAUUUCUUUUUAAUUUAUGUAUAAGUAUGUUUUUUUUGGAAUAAAAGAAUUUUAUUAAAUCCAAAAAAUCUUACAGCAAAAAGGCGAUCCAAUGAUCCAGCCUAGGAAUUCAAAAAAAAAAACACAACACCUACUACAUAAGGAAGCAUGAAAUGGCUAAUAUUGCUUCUAAGGUUAGGCAUAGUCCAACACCUAAGAUCAAUAAUAUCAAUGAUCUUAGGACCUCUAAUAGCUGUAACACCCCAUUUUUUAUUAGAUAUUUUAUUAUAUUUUAAUUGUUUAAAUUAUAUAUUUUGAUGAUUUAUUUUAUGGUCGGGUGUUGGCGGAUUAUAUAUCCUUGAAUUAGGGGUAUAGAGAGAUAAUAGAAGUGAGUAGAAUAAUUUAGAAUUAUUUUGGUAAUUAAAAAAAAUAUUUUAUUUAUUUUUAUAUAUUGAUUAGUGAAAAUAGAAUAAUUAGGCCAAAUAUGAAAAAUUGAGAAAGUUAGUGGAAAGAGGGAAUAAGAGAUCAUUAAAUUUAGGUCAAGUUGGUGAUUUGGAAAAAUUUACCCUAAAAAUAAAAAGUUAAGAGGAACCUAGGUUUAGUGAGAUUUUCACAUUACGUGACAUUUGAGAAAGAAGAGCAAAGAGGCAAAAGGCAAUAUGAUCAAGAGAAGAGAGUGAAAGUUCCAAUUCAGAAUUUUUGUAAGGAAUUCAGGUAAGGGUGAAAAAUUGUUUCAAUAAUAAGGGUGUAUGCAUGAAGGGUAGGGUGGAAGAGUCCUUAACCUCCAAUAGGAUGUUUGAGAUUUUACUAAAUUCUGAAUUUUUAUGAUAUCUUGAUGUUAUAUGUUGUGAUUAUUGGUGAUUAUUGGUGAUUUUCGUGCGUGGCUGUAUUUUCUGUUUUGAGUGUUGGGAUAAUUUCACAAUUGUUGAGAGUUUCGAAGGUUUAUGAAAAUAAUAAAGUUAUAAAUUAUAUGAUUUAAUUGAUGCCAAUAUGUGAUAAAUCUUAAAUUUGAUGUAUUAGUCAUUGGAUAAGUGUUGGGUUUCAAAUUCUAAGAUCAAGACUUUUUACGAAAUCGAAAUCGGAGGUCUGGAAGACCUCAAACGGAGAAAAAUAAGUUUCUAGGUUGUUCUUCGAACCUGUAACCGAUUACCGGUCUGAGUGUAACCGAUAACCACUUGAAAAAUAGGUUUUUGGGCUGUUUUCGAAGCCCAUAACCGGUUACGGGUUUGAGCGUAACCGGUUACUACUGUUACGUGCAAAAUUUAGAAAAUUGAAAAUGACGUAACUUGAGCUCCGUAGCUCCCUUUGACGCGCGGUUCGAAGUGUUAGAAAGCUAACAUAUAGUACUUUCUCAUGGUGAUGCUUUAAGAGGCUGAAUAUUAUGUAUUUAACAUUGAUUUAAUUGAUAAUUCAUUAUUAUUGUAGAUGUCUUGGUUGUUAUAUGGAAGUUGUUUAUGUGAAAGUUACAAUUGUCGAUUUUCUGUGUUUUGUUGGUUGUUGGCUACUAUUAGUUGUUGUAUGAUGUUGUUUUGAUGUCAGUUGCUGAUUUAUCAUGAUUUGAAUCGGUAUGAUGUAGUUAUUGGUGAAUGAUGAAUAUAUGUUAAUGAUAAAUGAUUGAUUAAACAUGAAUAAUUGUUGUGUGACAAUAAUGUUGUUAUGUCGGUGUUUCUAUAAUGAUGUUAUUAAGAUGACUGUGUUGAUGUUGUUGUGUUGGUGUUUUUAUGAUGACAAUAUGAACAUGAUGAAAUUAUGUUAAUGAUGUGGUGUUGAUGUUGGCAUACAUAGUCAAGAGUGGACCGAUGUGUAUAUAUUGAUGAUAUUGUUAUUGUUGCAUGUUAGGAGUCAUGCAUCCAUGUUGUCGGAGCUUCAGUUUUAUUUAUUUGGUGAGCCUCGAUCCUAUGAUGAUGGAUAUGGUUCGAGUAGCUAAUUCCUAUUAUGGGGGAUUAGUGAAGCGCUAUCUAUGGUGAUGGUAGUGAUUUUGGUGUGCUCCGGUUCCAAGAGGGAAUCGAUCCUAUGGUGGGGAUCAUAGAGCGAAAUGAACCUGAGUGUUCAUAUUUGGUACCACAUGCAUGUCGAGUCGGCGUUGAGUCCAUUUCAUAAGUGUUGCAUUUAUAUUGGUUGUGUAUAGUGUUGAUGAUAAUUGAUAAGUUGUUGUGUAUGAUGUUAAUGAUGAUUUGGGUGUGAGAAUUACAAUAUGUUGUUGUGAACGAUUAUGUUGACUGUAAUCUAUCUUUCAUGUUAUGUCUUUUAUAAUUGAUUAUAAUUUCUCAUCCCUUCUGUUUGAAUGUUGCCUUUACACGGACAUCGUGCAGAUACUCAGGAGUACCUUUGACUGAAGUAAGUGGAAGGAUAGUUCUUGAAGUGACUUCCAUUAGUUGUCAUUUAUUUAGUAGGAUAACUCUGAUCAUGUAACAUCGGGAUGGGAAUCGUUCGUGUUAAUUUCACUUGUUAUUGUUUGUUGGAGUUUUGAUUUUAUGUUGUUGAACGCUGAACAAUAUAACUCUCUUGUUCGUGUAAACAUCUCAGAUAAAUAUCAGAUGAGUUUGGAUGUCGUGUAAAUAUCCUAGGUGAAAUAAAGUUACAUGAUUAGUAGGUGUUGUUUGUUGUGUAUGUGUGAUAUCUUAUGUGCUAAGUUGAAAAAUAUCUGAUUUAUUUAUGAAUUAUGUAUUGGGGUAAUUAGGGUGUUACAUUAGCACCAUCAAUUUUGUUACCAAAACAAUGUUAAUUUCUAGCAUGUGACAUGUGUGUGAUUAUGUUUGUGGGAUCAGAGCAGGUCGGUUCGUCCGACCAGGUUGUCUAAUUAUGUUUGUUCCCUAGUAUGUGACAUGUGUGUGAGAACACUGCCGAUGCUUGUUUUGUUUUCCAUUUGUAGGUUGGGAAUGAAACAAGUGAGGGAGAAGAGUAUGCUUCUCUUGGAUGUUUUAACUGUAUAAAGCUUGGACAUCAUGUUGGUGCAUGCAAGAGUGCAUUGUUGGCUAGUUCAACUGUUUUGAGGAUGUUGUGCUUUUUCGUAACCUGGAGUGAGGUCGGAUUCGAGGAUGGUGACGGUUAGAAAAAUGGUGUGAUACUUGAGGGAACACAGUCAGGUGUUCUCGUUGGUCGCUUCCUUAUGAUGGGGAAUGCGAUGUUUUGGCCAGAGAUGAGCCAGUGGUGUGUUGAGUAUCCCGACGUGUUCCAUGAGGAUGUGUAUGUUUUGUAUUUUGUUGGAACAAGUUGACAUUAUUCUUUGAAUGAAUUGGUUGGAGUUAAACUAAAUGUUUACCAAUUGUUUUGAUAAGUUGGUGCAAUAUGCCACUGAAUGCAAGAGCUCAGGCGGUGUUGAAGUUGUGUUGUUCCUAACACUGAAGAUGUUGUAGAUUCGAGAUUCCUAUCUGCCGGUCAAUUUGGGAAGUCUUUAGGGAGAAUGAUUAGGUAUUAUUAAUGAUGCUUCUUGAAGAGUAGAGAGAAAUGUGACGACAAGUGUUAUGUUAGUGGUGUGUGAUUCCUGAUGUUUUCCUAAAGAUAUCUACGACUUGCCUACAGAGCAUGAAUCUGAGUUCGAUGGAGGUGAAAAGUUGACAUAUGUAUCAGUUAAGCAAGUGAGAGAGUACGUGAAGGAUAUGGCAUACGUGUUUGUGAUGUUAGCUUCAUUGGAAGCUAGAGGAAAGGUAAUAGUUCGUGAUCUUCCUGGAGUGUUUCCUGAAGACAUCAAUGAUUUGCCUCUGGAGCAUGAAGUAGAGUUUACCUUCGACUUAGUACUAGGUACGAGUUUGGUGUCAAUGGAUCCUUAUAGAAUGUCAGCUUCAGAGUUGGGUGACUUGAAGAAACAGUUAGAAGAAUUGCUUGAGAAGAAGUUUGUUCAACCAAGUGUUUCUCCGUGGGGUGCACCUGUGUUACUAGUUAAGAAGAAGGAUGGAAGUAUGAGAUUAUGUGUUGAGUACAUGUAGUUGAAUAAAGUGACUAUCAAGAAUAAGUAUCAACUUCCGAGAAUUGAUGAUCUGAUGGAUCAGUUGGUUGGUGCAUGUGUUUUCAGCAAGAUAGACUUGAGGUCUGGUUAUCAUCAGAUUCGUGUUAAACCAGAUGAUAUUCCGAAGACAACAUCUAGGAUAAGAUAUGGUCCCUAUGAGUAUAUUGUAAUACCGUUUGGAGUAUCUAAUGUGCUAGGUGUGUUUAUGGAGUACGUGAAUAGGGUAUUUCAUCCAUAUUUAGAUGAGUUUUUGGUGGUCUUCAUCAAUGACAUUUUGAUAUAUUCGAAGUCUUAUGAGGAACAUGUUGAACAUCAGAAGAUUGUGUUGCAUGCAUUGAGAGAGAAGAAGCUUUAUGCCAAGCUAUCCAAUUGUGAGUUUUGGUUGAAGGAAGUGAGUUUCCUUGGCCAUGUGAUUUCAAGUGGUGGAAUUUCUGUAUAUCAUUCUAAGGUUGACGUUGUAUUGCAGUGGGCGACUCUGAAGUCUACUACUGAGAUUCGAAGUUUCCUUGGCCUAAUUGGUUUUUAUUGCAGGUUUAUAGAAGACUUCUCAAAGUUAGCACUACCUUUGACUUAGUUGACUUGAAAGGGUCAAGCUUAUGUGUUGGAUGUUGCAUGUGAAGAAAGUUUUGUUGAACUCAAGAAGAAGUUAAAGUUCUCCCAUUUUGAUUUUGUCGAAUCCAUGUGAGUCCUUUGUUGUAUAUUGUGAUGCUUCGAAGAUGGGUCUGAGGGGUGUUGAUGUAGAAUGGACAGGUUGUGGCUUAUGCUUCGAGGCAUUUGAAAUUUCAUGGAGGAAUUAUCCUACGCAUGGUGUGGAGUUAGCAGUUGUGGUUUUUGUGUUGAAAAAUUGGAGACAUUAUCUUUUUGGUUCUAGAUUUAAGGUGUUCAUUGAUCACAAGAGCCUGAAGUACCUAUUCGAUCAGAAAUAAUUGAAUAUGAGAUAUAGAAGAUGGCUUGAACUUCUGAAGGAUUAUGAUUUUGGUUUAAGUUACCAUCUUGGUAAGGAUAAUGUCGUAUUUGAUGCAUUGAGUAGGAAGUCUUUGCACAUGUCAAUUCUUGUGGUUUGAGAGUUGGGACUGACCUGUAGUAUUCUUGACGAGAUCAGAGAAGGACAGAAGAUCGACUUGGGAUUGAUUGACUGGUUAGUGUUGAUAAAUCAAGGUGAAGGCGGUGACUUCAAGAUUGACGAGAAUGGUGUGAUGAGAUUCAGAGAAGUAAUUUGUGUUCUAGAUGUGUCUGAACUUAAGAAGAGUAUUCUUGAGGAAGGACACCGUGGUAAGCUGAGUAUCCAUCCAGGUGCGACCAAAAUGUAUCAAGACUUGAAGAAGAUGUUUUGGUGGCCAGGGAUGAAGAAAGAGAUUGUUGAAUUCAUAUAUGUUUGUUUGACUUGCCAAAAGUUAAAGAUUGAACAUCAAAAUUCGUUAGGUCUGAUGCAACCAUUGGAUAUUCCAUAAUGGAAAUGGGAUAGAAUUUCCAUGGAUUUUGUAAUAGGUUUGCUGAAGACUUCGAAGGGAUGCGAUUCAAUUUGGAUGAUUAUGGAUAGAUUGACCAAAUCAUCUCAUUUUAUAUAGGUGAGAAUCAAUUAUCCUUAAUAGAAGCUGGUUGAAUUGUAUGUUUAUGAGAUUGUGAAGUUGCAUGGUAUUCCUUCAACUAUUGUGUCAGAUAGAGAUUCGAGAUUUAUAUCGAGGUUCUAGGAGAGUCUGCAGGUUUCUUUGGGUACUAAGCUGAAUUUUAGUUCUGCUUAUCAUCCACAGACGGAUGGUCAAACAGAGAGGACUAUCCAGUCUUUGGAGGAUUUGUUGAGGGCUUGUGUGCUAGAACAAGGAGGUGUUUGGGAUAGCUACUUGCGGUUGGUUAAGUUUACCUACAAUAACAAUUUCCAUUCUAGUAUCGGAAUGGCACCAUAUGAGCUUUAUAUGAUAGGAGGUGUAGAACACCUUUGUGUUGGUAUGAGUCAGGCGAGAGUGUUGCGCCCAGACUUGAGAUUUUUCACCAGACAACUGAAAAGAUCAAGACGAUCCAAUAAAAGAUGAAAGCAUUGCAUAUUCGUUAGAAAAGUUACCUAGAUAAGAGGAGGAAAACACUUGAGUUUCAUGGGGGAGAUCACGUGUUUUUGAGAGUUACGUCGGUAACUAGUCUUGGUCGCGCUUUGGAGUCUCGAAAGCUCACAUGGCAUUUUGUUGUUUGUACCAUAUUUUACAAAGGAUAUGAGAGGUGACCUAUCAGAUUGCUUUGAAGCCGUCGCUUGCUAACCUUCAUGAUGUAUUUCAUGUGUCUCGAUUGAGGAGAUACAUUCUGGAUCUGUCUCAUGUGAUCUAGAUGGAUGAUACGCAUGUGAGAUAUGACCUGACUAUUGAGAUAUCACCAUAUAGAUAGAGGAUCGAGAAGUGAAGCAGUUGCGUGGUAGAGAGAUUUCCUUGGUGAAGGUAGUGUGGGAAGGACCAGCUGGUGGGAGCAUGACUUGGGAGCGUGAGGAGCAAAUGAGAGAGUCGUAUCCGACUCUGUUUUCCUUAGGUAAUUUUCGAGGGCAAAAAUUUCUUAAGUGGGGGAGAGUUUUAACACCCCAUUUUUCAUUAGAUACUUUAUUAUAUUUUAAUUGUUUGAAUUAUGCAUUUUGAUGAUUUAUUUUAUGGUUGGGUGUUGGCGGGUUAUAUAUCAUUGAGUUAGGGGUAUAAAGAGAUGAUAGAAGUGAGUAGAAUAAUUUAGAGUUAUUUUGAUAAUUAAAAUUAAUAUUUUAUUUAUUUUUAUAUAUUAAUUAGUGAAAAUAGAAUAAUGGGGCCAAAUAUGAGAAAUUGAGAAAGUUAGUGGGAAGAGGGAAUAAGAGAUCAUUAAGUUUGCGUCAAGUUGGUGAUUUGGAAAAGUUUACCCUAAAAAUAAAAAGUUAAGAAGAACCUAAGUUUAGGGAGAUUUUCACAGUACAUGACAUUUGAGAAAGAUGAGCAAAGAGGCAAGAUGCAAGAUGCAAGAUGAUCAAGGGAAGAGAGUAAAUGUUUCAAUUCAAAAUUUUUCUAGGGAAUUCAGGUAAGGGUGAGAAUUUUUUUCAAUAAUAAGGGUGUAUGCAUGAAGGGUAGGGUAGAAGAAUCCUUAAACUCCAAUAGGGCGUUUGGGAUUUUACUAAAUUCUGAAUUUUUAUGAUAUAUUGAUGUUAUAUGUUUUGAUUAUUGAUGAUUUUCGUGCACUACGUGGGGCUCUAUUUUCUGUUUUGAAUGUUGGGAUAAUUUCACCAUUGUUGAGAGUUUCGAAGGUUUGUGGAAUUGAUAAAGUUAUGAAUUAUAUGAUUUAAUUGAUGUCAAUAUGUGAUAAAUUGUAAAUUUGAUGUUUUAAUCAUUGGAUAAAUGUUGUGUUUCGAAUUUUGAGAUCGGGACUUUUUAUAGAAGCGAAAUUGGAGGUCUGGAACUCUCCAACAAUGAAAAAUAAGUUUCUAGGUUAUUCUUCAAACCUGUAACCGGUUACCGGUCUGAGUGUAACCGAUUACCACUUGAAAAAUAGGUUUCUGGGCUAUUUUCGAAGCCCAUAAUUGGUUACGAGUUUGAGCGUAACCGGUUACCACUGUUACGUGAAAAAUUUAGGAAAUUGUAAAUGACGUAAGUUGAGCACCGUAGCUCCGUUUGAUGCGCGAUUCAAAGCGUUAGAAAGCUAACGCGUAGUACUAUCUCAUGGUGAUGCCUUAAGAGCUGAAUAUGAUGUAUUUAACAUUGAAUUAAUUGAUAAUGUAUUAUUAUUGUAGAUGCCUUAGUUGUUAUAUGGAAGUUGUUUAUGUCAAAGUUGUAAUUGUUGAUUUUCCAUGCUUUGUUGGUUGUUGGCUACUAUUAGCUGUUGUAUGAUGAUGUUUUGAUGUAAGUUGCUGAUUUAUCAUGAUUUUAAUUGGUAUGAUGUAGUGAUUGAUGAAUGAUGAAUAUAUGCCAAAUAUAAAUGAUUUGUUAAACAUGAAUAAUUGUCGUGUGACAAUAAUAUUAUUAUGUCGGUGUUACUAUAAUUAUGUUAUUAAGAUGAUUAUGUUGAUGUUGUUGCGUUGGUGUUUUUAUGAUGACAAUAUGAACAUGAUGAAAUAUGUUGAUGAUGUGGUGUUGAUGUUGGCAUACACAGUCAAGAGUGGACCGAUGUGUAUGUGUUGAUGAUAUUGUUAUUUGUUGCAUGUUAAGAGUCAUGCAUCCAUGUUGUCAGAACUUCGGUUCUAUUUAUUUGGUGAGCCUCGAUCUUAUGGUGAUGGAUUGGGUGCGAGUAGCUUAUUCCUAAUACGGGAGAUUAGUGAAGUGUUACCUAUGGUGGUGGUAGUGAUUUUGGUGUGCUACGGUUCCACGAGGGAAUCGAUCCUAUGGUGUGAAUCAUGGAGUGAAAUGAACCUGAGGGUUCAUAUUUUGUACCACAUGCAUGUCGAGUCGGCGUUGAGUCCAUUGCAUAAGUGUUUCAUUUAUAUUAGUUGUGUAUGAUGUUGAUGAUUUUUUAGAAGUUGUUGUGUAUGAUGUUGAUGAUGAUUUGGGUGUGAGAAUUACAAUAUGUUGUUGUGAACGAUUAUGUUGACUGCAAUCUAUCUUUCAUGUUAUGCCUUUUAUAAUUGAUUAUAAUUUCUCACCCCUUCUGUUUGAAUGUUGCCUUUACACGGACAUCGUGCAGAUACUCAAGAGUAGCUUUGACUGAAGUAAGUGGAAGGAUAGUUCUUGAAGUGACUUCCAUUAGUUCUCAUUUAUUUAGUAGGACAACUCUGAUCAUGUAACAUCGAGAUGGGAAUCGUUCGUGUUAAUUUCACUUGUUAUUAUUUGUUGGAGUUUUGAUUGUAUGUUGUUGAGCGCUGAACAAUAUAACUUUCUUGUUUGUGUUUUUAAAGUUGAAGUAGAGUUUAUGAGACCAAUGAUGUGAAUAUUAUUUGUUUGAUUGUGUUGUUUUUAACUAUGUUUCGUUGGUAAGUUAUAUCAGAUGAGUUUGGAUGUCGUGUAAACAUCUCAGGUAAAUGUCAGAUGAGUUUGGAUGUCGUGUAAACAUCCUAGGUGAAAUAAACUUACAUGAUUAGUAGGUGUUAUUUAUUGUGCAUGUGUGACAUCCUAUGUGAUAAGUUGAAAAAUCUAUGAUUUAUUUGUGAAUUAUGUGUUGGGGAAUUAGGGUGUUACAUUAGCACCAUCAAUUUUGUUACCAAAACAAUGUUGAUUUCUAAACCUCCAAGCUUCAUAAACCGUCUCCACAAAAGCACACUUAAGAAUCUUGGAUUUCCAGCCUUUACCCUUGCUAUUGUUCAAAAUCCACAUGAACUCUUUCUCCCAACCAAGAGGUGUAUUACUAAUUUGAAGCCACUGCAAAAUAUGAUUCCAAAUACUUUUAAUACUAGGAUAGUUGAGCAUUAAAUGAUGGAGAGUUUCUUCCCUGUUACAAUAGCAGUAGAUGAUUUCCUCAAUCAAAUCAAAUUUGUGCAAUUUGUCCUUUGUAGCAAGUCUCCUAUUGCACGUCAUCCACAACACAAAAAGAGCAUGCAGUUU
rnacentral:lncRNA from 1 species